rnacentral:rRNA from 1 species
GACGAACGCUGGCGGCGUGCUUAACACAUGAAAGUCGAACGGAAAGGCCCUGCUUUUGUGGGGUGCUCGAGUGGCGAACGGGUGAGUAACACGUGAGUAACCUGCCCUUGACUUUGGGAUAACUUCAGGAAACUGGGGCUAAUACCGGAUAGGAGCUCCUGCUGCAUGGUGGGGGUUGGAAAGUUUCGGCGGUUGGGGAUGGACUCGCGGCUUAUCAGCUUGUUGGUGGGGUAGUGGCUUACCAAGGCUUUGACGGGUAGCCGGCCUGGGAGGGUGACCGGCCACAUUGGGACUGAGAUACGGCCCAGACUCCUACGGGAGGCAGCAGUGGGGAAUAUUGCACAAUGGGCGGAAGCCUGAUGCAGCAACGCCGCGUGCGGGAUGACGGCCUUCGGGUUGUAAACCGCUUUCGCCUGUGACGAAGCGUGAGUGACGGUAAUGGGUAAAGAAGCACCGGCUAACUACGUG